rnacentral:lncRNA from 1 species
GUAACUUAUCUAAACCACACAAUGAUUAAUUCAACCCCUCUUCAAAGGGAAGAAAUUUCCCAAUAAAGGAAAAAUAAAUUGAAAUGGCAGCUACUUUAAAUCAAGCACUUAACUAACAUGUUGCUACUUAAAUUGCACAGAUAAAUAUUCUGGCCUAAGUUCAAGGGAAGCAGGAAUGUAAAUGGGGGUCAUAAUGAAUGAGCUCUAUUUGGAGAAUGGCUGUAAGGUAUCAUUACUUUAUAGGUCUCAAAAAAAACAAAAACAACCUUCUGAUUCUGCUUAGAAAAGGGUCUGCACGUUGUUAGAGGUUACCAGAAAACCAACUAUGCAUUAUAAUUUAAACUAAUAUAUGUUGUUUACAUGUUUCAGAACCCAGAAAAUACUUAAUUCUCUGACACUGACACUACCUUGGGGUAUUCCGCAGACUCCAAGAUUAAAAAAACACCAAGAAGGAACAUCAUCUCCAGAAAUAAUGGGCAUCUAGAACCUUGGCUGUGGUGAACGCAGCCAGAGGGGACAUGAGAUUCCACUCUGGCUGCUGCAGCUGAGCCUGCCAAGUUUACCAGUGGGCCAAAUUAAGGCUGGUAAAGUUAUUACAAGCACGUUUUCCUUUUCAUACGGAUUAGGAAGCUGCAAAAUGUAUUCAUCUUCAAAUCUGCGGAACAUUAAAGCUAUGGGCAAUGUUACUGAACAGAAAAANAAAAAAAAAAAAAAGACUUCAAAAACAAUACUACUGCAUUCCCCUCAACCAUCCCCAACUGAAAGUUUUUAUUUAUGUAAUGCUUUUCAAUUCAAUGAGUGACCUGAAAUCCUUUCUCCAAGACAGAACUGUAACCUGCUUGUUGGCCAUUCUGCUAGAAGAGACAACUGCUCACCUGAGUUCUGUUUCUUUGAAUUACUGGUUAAAAGACAAUAUUACUCAGGAUGAGUCAACCCCACAGCUAACUCACUACAACAGUUUCUGUAACCGCUGCUCACUAACAGCAUAACUAAGAGAGGAACAACAUACAAAUACAUAAAGUAUAUAACCAUUACAGAAGGGUCUCAUUAUGUGAGGAUAACAAUUAUCUGAAAAGGAUUGUUAAUCUAUUCACUUACAAUAGGGACCAAAGUCUCAUAGUGAAUGUGGGGGGAAAAAUGUUUUCAUUAAGGUAAAAAAAUUGAAAUAUCAAAUAUUAGUGUAUUUUAUCUUCAAUUUAAUAAAAUUUGAAUAAUAA